rnacentral:lncRNA from 1 species
CGGAUUUUCGAUAAAAUUGACGGCCAACUCGAAUUUUUCCUCAUAAACUGCUAAGAGAGCAGCCAGCGACGUAGUGUUCUCGGAACGGACAUUUCUCUAUAUAUCUACAAUCAUGGCCGACUGCGACCGCAUCGUCUUCCCGGACGAAGUUGAACAAAUCAAGGCUCAAAUAGCCGCGGAGAAAAAAGAACCAACAAGCCAGCAAGCGAUAGAUGAACCAGAAAUAGUGCUUGAACAUUUUGUUCAAGUACCGUCAAAUCUUAUGACACCACCAUCAGACAACAACAAAGUGGACGCUAUCGUUUUUCAAUAAAGCAAGCGCGCUCCAA